UAAUACGUAGGUGGCGAGCGUUAUCCGGAUUUAUUGGGCGUAAAGAGGGCGCAGGUGGCUUUUCAAGUCGGAUGUAAAAUCUCCCGGCUUAACCGGGAGGGAUCAUUCGAUACUGCUGGGCUAGAGUGCAGCAGAGGGAGGUGGAAUUCCCGGUGUAGUGGUGAAAUGCGUAGAUAUCGGGAGGAACACCAGUGGCGAAAGCGGCCUCCUGGGCUGUAACUGACGCUGAGGCCCGUAAGCGUGGGGAGCAAACAGGAUUAGAUACCCUGGUAGUCCACGCUGUAAACGAUGGAUACUAGGUAUGGGGGGUAUCGACCCCCUCUGUGCCGAAGCUAACGCUUUAAGUAUCCCGCCUGGGGACUACGGUCGCAAGACUA
rnacentral:rRNA from 1 species